rnacentral:rRNA from 1 species
UACGUAGGGUGCAAGCGUUAUCCGGAAUUAUUGGGCGUAAAGAGCUCGUAGGCGGUUUGUCGCGUCUGCUGUGAAAACUGGAGGCUCAACCUCCAGCCUGCAGUGGGUACGGGCAGACUAGAGUGCGGUAGGGGAGAUUGGAAUUCCUGGUGUAGCGGUGGAAUGCGCAGAUAUCAGGAGGAACACCGAUGGCGAAGGCAGCUCUCUGGGCCGUAACUGACGCUGAGGAGCGAAAGCAUGGGGAGCGAACAGG